UACGUAGGGGGCGAGCGUUGUCCGGAGUUACUGGGCGUAAAGGGCGCGCAGGCGGUCUGGUAAGUUUGGAGUGACAGUGCUCGGCUUAACUGAGCAAGGCCUUCGAAAACUGCUAGACUUGAGCACUCAAGAGGGACAUAGAAUUCCGGGUGGAGUGGUGAAAUGCGUAGAUAUCCGGAGGAAUACCAAAGGCGAAGGCAGUGUCCUGGGGAGUGUCUGACGCUCAGGCGCGAAAGCCAGGGGAGCAAACGGG
rnacentral:rRNA from 1 species